AGUUAGUGUUUGUAAAUAAUGACCUCACUGUUGCUCAAGGAACAUCCCUGUGGCUUCUGAAGCACAUAAAAGCCCUCCCUUCCCUGCUCUUACUCCUUUGGCUUCACUUCUCCUCAUCUGCCCAUUUUUGCCUGCCCUGCAGAAAGAUGUACAGCCCUGGACACUAUACAGCGUUCUGCCAUGGACCUUCAGGGUCAUGCCUUGGAAAGGGGGGACCCUACGGCUGCGGACAGACUUUCUGUUCUGGGAUCCAGCAUAGUCAAGGAGACUCUAGAUCAUCCUGCCACAGUUCUGGGCCUCUGUGCCAUGGAUCUGGACCUUUCGACCAAAAAACAUGGCGAAGGCAGCAUGUACGCAAGCGCCGUCCAGUGUGGCCAUGCCAGGCACCAGUGCAGAAAUGCUGCGCCCCAGCACAACUGCGUUAUGCAUAAGGGGAAAAGUGCAGCCGCAGCAGGUCAGCAAGGUGCCAACACAGCAGCUAACUAACUAAAGUAACACAGCCAACAACCCCAGGAACCAAAAUGAAAUGAAGACCUGCCAGUUUCCUCCCUGUUCAUACAGUGACACCUUCAGUGCCUAAAGCAUCUCAUGUGCCAUUUCACAAACUGCAGAUUCUUUCCUCGCCAGCAGAUUAAAACCAGUUAAAUACCUUAAAAAUCCAGCCUUGGGUGCUCAAAGAUGCAGAUAACUACUUAGCACGAUAUUAAGAAGCAUCUCAGCACCUGAAGCCAGCGGGAACAAGGCAUGUGGGCAGCUUUCUUUCUCUUUAUAGGCACUUUUAUAAUGCUGUGGAAAAUCUGCUCCUGUGUGUCUAGAACAUGGUCUAGAGACCCUAGUGCCUGCGUAAAUAUGAAAUGUUUGUAUCAAGUUCUACUUCUGCUGUAUCAAGUAAGCUCUUGAGACACAAUGUCGUAUAUUGUAUUCUGAGGGUACUCUAUUAAGUACUUUCAAAUCUCCACUGUUACCCGAGACACAAUAAAACUUGCAAAACAUGA